GUGGGCGUAGCUCAGUGGCAGAGCACCGGGUUGUGGCCCCGGUGGCCGCGGGUUCAAAUCCCGUCGCUCACC
rnacentral:tRNA from 1 species